UCCCUGGUGGUUCAGAUGGUAAAGCGUCUGCCUGCAGUGCAGGAGACCCAGGUUUGAUCCCUGAGUUGGGAA
rnacentral:tRNA from 1 species